GACGAACGCUGGCGGCGUGCUUAACACAUGCAAGUCGAACGGAAAGGCCCUGCUUUUGUGGGGUUCUCGAGUGGCGAAUGGGUGAGUAACACGUGAGUAACCUGCCCUUGACUUUGGGAUAACUUCAGGAAACUGGGGCUAAUACCGGAUAGGUGCUUCUGCUGCAUGGUGGGCGUUGGAAAGUUUCGGCGGUUGGGGAUGGACUCGCGGCUUAUCAGCUUGUUGGUGGGGUAGUGGCUUACCAAGGCUUUGACGGGUAGCCGGCCUGAGAGGGUGACCGGCCACAUUGGGACUGAGAUACGGCCCAGACUCCUACGGGAGGCAGCAGUGGGGAAUAUUGCACAAUGGGCGGAAGCCUGAUGCAGCAACGCCGCGUGCGGGAUGACGGCCUUCGGGUUGUAAACCGCUUUCGCCUGUGACGAAGCGUGAGUGACGGUAAUGGGUAAAGAAGCACCGGCUAACUACGUG
rnacentral:rRNA from 1 species